rnacentral:rRNA from 1 species
CCUACGGGAGGCAGCAGUGAGGAAUAUUGGACAAUGGGCGCAAGCCUGAUCCAGCCAUGCCGCGUGCAGGAUGACGGUCCUAUGGAUUGUAAAUUGCUUUUAUACGAGAAGAAACACCCCUACGUGUAGGGACUUGACGGUAUCGUAAGAAUAAGGAUCGGCUAACUCCGUGCCAGCAGCCGCGGUAAUACGGAGGAUCCAAGCGUUAUCCGGAAUCAUUGGGUUUAAAGGGUCCGUAGGCGGUUUAGUAAGUCAGUGGUGAAAUCUCCCCGCUCAACGGGGAAACGGCCAUUGAUACUGCUAGACUUGAAUUAUUAGGAAGUAACUAGAAUAUGUAGUGUAGCGGUGAAAUGCUUAGAGAUUACAUGGAAUACCAAUUGCGAAGGCAGGUUACUACUAAUGGAUUGACGCUGAUGGACGAAAGCGUGGGUAGCGAACAGGAUUAGAUACCCUGGUAGUCCACGCCGUAAACGAUGGAUACUAGCUGUUGGGUGCAAACUCAGUGGCUAAGCGAAAGUGAUAAGUAUCCCACCNGGAGGUACGUUCGCGAGAAGUAGAACGUACGAAGAAGUUAGACGGCGUGAGACGUAGCCGAACGGACGACGACGAGGGAGGUUAGG